CUGCAUUGAGAGGUCAGCAAGAUUGCCUUGGCUGGGAACCAAACUCAUCCUGGUUUCCUGUCUUGGGAUCUCAAGGGGCUAGAAUGAGCUGCUAUUCCAAGGGAGAGAAGAAAGCAACCCCAGGAAGCCUGGCCCCGAAGACUGUGAGGUAUGGUGGGGCCUUGCUGUGCUCUGGACUGGACAAGAGGCACCCUGGGCUCUGGACACAGCCAGAUCUUCAGCCAAUUGCAUCUCCGGCCCAGGGCAGGCCCUUUAUCUUAUAGCCCAGUGGUGCCUCUCUCCUCACCUAGGAAACAAAGCCAACAGGAUCUGCACCACCUCUGCCUCCCGGACAUUGGAAGGACUAAAUAAGAUCAGAGACCUCAUUCCUAGAUGGAACGAGGAAUGGUAGCGACCACGAUCCUCCCCUCCCAGGAUCUGCGCCACAAGGGAAGAUCAGAACCUUCAGCUGCCAGAAGCACUGUGGCGGAAAUGUAGGUCCCCAUCCAGGCUGAUCUGAGCUUGGCUUUCUGGAGCACGCAAACCUCGAUGCACUGAACUGCUGCCGGACCUCACCUUGCCAGGCCCACUGUGCUCACACUCACACAUCGCUCCAUCCACUGGAGGCUGCAGAGGCAAGAUCCACCAAGAAGAUGGUCUUCCUGUCCAGGAUGCCCUUCCCUGAGAGAAGUGUAUUUAAUCUUAAAUUCAGAUGUUUGUUUGUCUACCCACUUAAAAC
rnacentral:lncRNA from 1 species